rnacentral:lncRNA from 1 species
GAAUCUCUAUCUCACGCUAUCUAUGGCCUCACGCACUGUCCCAACCCUCAUCGCUCAAGCUACCUGAAAAAUGGUAAGGAGUGAGAACAUGUAAACAAGUCUUCCCCUCCCAGUAGGUACCGCAAGUAGACGAAGGCGAGCUGUACACACCAGCAGAUGGAAGGGAUACACACCGGUAGAUGGAAGGGAUAAACAGUAGUAGUUACAAGUAAAUCGGGUAUGAUAAUAAUAAAUAAUGACCACUGAUAAUCACCAAAGAGGCUACUACUGUCAUGUGAGAUAAUAAAGCAAUGAUGAACUAUAAUCAAUAGUCAAACUAGUGCAGUGGCAAUGAUAACUGAACUGAAAACAACCAUAAUAAUAGUAUGAAUUACCGCUACUGCAAAGGGAGAUAGCGAAAAAGACUAUGCGUCAACUGUAACUGAUAAGACAAGUAUACCCAAUUAACUACUGUAUUGGUCUAAAGACCUCAGGCAAUGCCACUCCUACUCUAAUAGGGAUGUGACCCUAGCAAAGUGUCACUGGGUCUCCCUGGCAUAUGACCCAGCAAAGGACUGCUUGGCUCACGGGUCGAAAGUACGACCACUUUUCCAAAAAAGAAUAUCCUCUUAUGGUGGAUUAGACCACUGGUGUACGUGAAAUGCACAUGAGCUAUGGCAAUCAAUGUUAUAUGCUCAAUGGCCAACAGUG